AUUGAACGCUGGCGGAAUGCUUUACACAUGCAAGUCGAGCGGCAGCGCGGGGGCAACCCUGGCGGCGAGCGGCGAACGGGUGAGUAACAUAUCGGAACGUACCCCGUCGUGGGGGAUAACACAGCGAAAGCUGUGCUAAUACCGCAUACGACCUGAGGGUGAAAGCGGGGGAUCGCAAGACCUCGCGCGAUGGGAGCGGCCGAUAUCGGAUUAGCUUGUUGGUGAGGUAAAGGCUCACCAAGGCGACGAUCCGUAGCUGGUCUGAGAGGACGACCAGCCACACUGGAACUGAGACACGGUCCAGACUCCUACGGGAGGCAGCAGUGGGGAAUUUUGGACAAAUGGGGGGCAACCCUGAUCCAGCCAUUCCGCAUGAGUGAAGAAGGCCUCGGUGUAAG
rnacentral:rRNA from 1 species